rnacentral:rRNA from 1 species
GAUGAACGCUAGCGGCAGGCCUAAUACAUGCAAGACGAACGGUAAGAUUUUUAGCAAUAGAGAUCCUAGAGUGUCGUAAGGGUGCGUAACACGUAUGCAAUCUGCCCUCAACAGGAGAAUAGCUCCCCGAAAGGGGAAUUAACACUCCGUCAGAUUGUGGUUCGGCAUCGGACAGCAAUUAAAACUGAGGUGGUUGAGGAUGAGCAUGCGCAUGAUUAGUUAGUUGGCGGGGUAACGGCCCACCAAGACGAUGAUCAUUAGGGGAACUGAGAGGUUGAUCCCCCACACUGGCACUGAGAUACGGGCCAGACUCCUACGGGAGGCAGCAGUAGGGAAUAUUGGACAAUGGGUGCGAGCCUGAUCCAGCCAUGCCGCGUGCAGGAAGACGGCCCUCUGGGUUGUAAACUGCUUUUGCCAGGGGAUAAAACGGCUCUGCGGAGCUAAUUGAAGGUACCUGGUGAAUAAGCCACGGCUAACUACGUGCCAGCAGCCGCAGUAA